rnacentral:lncRNA from 1 species
AUUACUGAUGAAACAUAGUUUAGAGACCGAGGAACUGUGAGCAGUUACAUUAGAACAUUGCACAGACAAACUCAAAUACAUUGAACCUGUUUGUUUGAGAACCCCCUUCACAACAGCUCCAUCCCAUGAAGUUUCCAGGCUGGAUAUUCCCCAAGGAAAGACCACUUUGGCUGUGAAGCCCUCCAAGCCUUUAUAUCCCCAGAAUGAGGAGGCACCAGUGGCCUGAGAGCUGUCACAACCCAUCCCUGUGAAGAACCCCUCCUUUCCCAGUUCCUCUCUCACACCAGUGCUGAGGUUUCCAGUGAAGCACAAGCUCCAGAACAGAAGCAGCACGGAACACACAGGAAAAACAGGGACCAUCCGUGCCUCUCAGUGCACAGCUGCUUCUGGAGAGCCUCGAGCCAGGAGGCAAAGGUGACCUUCAGUGCCCUCCUGAGAGAGCCCAGCACGUGCUCAUACCAGACUGCAC